rnacentral:rRNA from 1 species
UACAGAGGUCCCAAGCGUUGUUCGGAUUCACUGGGCGUAAAGGGUGCGUAGGUGGCCAUACAGGUCCGUUGUGAAAACUGGAGGCUUAACCUCCAGACGUCGAUGGAAACCGUCUGGCUAGAGUCCGGAAGAGGAGAGUGGAAUUCCUGGUGUAGCGGUGAAAUGCGCAGAUAUCAGGAAGAACACCCGGUGGCUAAGGCGGGCU